UACCCUUGACAUGUCUGGAAUCUCGCAGAGAUGUGAGAGUGCCCGAAAGGGAGCCAGAACACAGGUGCUGCAUGGCUGUCGUCAGCUCGUGUCGUGAGAUGUUGGGUUAAGUCCCGCAACGAGCGCAACCCUUGUCAUUAGUUGCUACGAAAGGGCACUCUAAUGAGACUGCCGGUGACAAACCGGAGGAAGGUGGGGAUGACGUAUAGGAACACCAAC
rnacentral:misc_RNA from 1 species